rnacentral:rRNA from 1 species
AGGGUUUGAUCAUGGCUCAGGAUGAACGCUGGCGGCGUGCUUAACACAUGCAAGUCGAACGAACCUUCGGGUUAGUGGCGGACGGGUGAGUAACGCGUGAGAAUCUGCCCUCAGGAGGGGGAUAACGGUUGGAAACGACCGCUAAUACCCCAUAUGCCUACUGGUGAAAUGAAUUUCGCCUGAGGAUGAGCUCGCGUCUGAUUAGCUAGUUGGUGAGGUAAUGGCUCACCAAGGCUUCGAUCAGUAGCUGGUCUGAGAGGAUGAUCAGCCACACUGGGACUGAGACACGGCCCAGACUCCUACGGGAGGCAGCAGUGGGGAAUUUUCCGCAAUGGGCGAAAGCCUGACGGAGCAACGCCGCGUGAGGGACGAAGGCCUCUGGGCUGUAAACCUCUUUUCUCAAGGAAGAAGAUAUGACGGUACUUGAGGAAUAAGCCACGGCUAAUUCCGUGCCAGCAGCCGCGGUAAUACGGGAGUGGCAAGCGUUAUCCGGAAUUAUUGGGCGUAAAGCGUCGCAGGCGGCUUUUCAAGUCUGCUGUUAAAACGUGGAGCUUACUCCAUCAUGGCAGUGGAAACUGAAAGGCUUGAGUAUGGUAGGGGCAGAGGGAAUUCCCGGUGUAGCGGUGAAAUGCGUAGAUAUCGGGAAGAACACCAGUGGCGAAGGCGCUCUGCUGGGCCAUUACUGACGCUCAUGGACGAAAGCCAGGGGAGCGAAAGGGAUUAGAUACCCCUGUAGUCCUGGCCGUAAACGAUGAACACUAGGUGUCGGGGGAAUCGACCCCUUCGGUGUCGUAGCUAACGCGUUAAGUGUUCCGCCUGGGGAGUACGCACGCAAGUGUGAAACUCAAAGGAAUUGACGGGGGCCCGCACAAGCGGUGGAGUAUGUGGUUUAAUUCGAUGCAACGCGAAGAACCUUACCAGGGUUUGACAUCCUGCGAACCUCUUAGAAAUUUGAGGGUGCCUUCGGGAAUGCAGUGACAGGUGGUGCAUGGCUGUCGUCAGCUCGUGUCGUGAGAUGUUGGGUUAAGUCCCGCAACGAGCGCAACCCACGUUUUUAGUUGCCAGCAUUUAGUUGGGCACUCUAGAAAGACCGCCGGUGAUAAACCGGAGGAAGGUGUGGAUGACGUCAAGUCAUCAUGCCCCUUACACCCUGGGCUACACACGUACUACAAUGCUACGGACAAAGGGCAGCAAACUCGCGAGAGCUAGCAAAUCCCAUAAACCGUGGCUCAGUUCAGAUCGUAGGCUGCAACUCGCCUACGUGAAGUAGGAAUCGCUAGUAAUCGCAGGUCAGCAUACUGCGGUGAAUACGUUCCCGGGCCUUGUACACACCGCCCGUCACACCAUGGAAGUUGGCCAUGCCCGAAGUCGUUACUCCAACCCUUGUGGAGGAGGACGCCGAAGGUGGGGCUAAUGACUGGGGUGAAGUCAUAACAAGGUAACCGUA